CCCUUAGAUGUUCUGGGCCGCACGCGCGCUACAAUGGCAAACUCAGCGAGUCUCCUUUACCGACAGGUAUAGGAAAUCUUUUCAGUGUUUGCCGUGAUGGGGCUAGACCCUUGUAAUUAUUGGUCUCCAACGAGGAAUUCCUAGUAAACGCAGGUCAUUAACCUGCAUUGAUUACGUCCCUGCCCUUUGUACACACCGCCCGUCGCACCUACCGAUUGAAUGGUCCGGUGAAGUCACCGGACUGAGUACUUUUAGUACUUGGGAAGUUGACUAAACCUUACUAUUUAGAGGAAGGUGAAGUCGUAACA
rnacentral:rRNA from 1 species